GCGGGGGCUGGAGGUUGGCCUCUGCCAAAAGGGGAGAAAUUCAUUGUAGAGACAACACUUCUGGAGCGCUACAUGCAGACAAUGUUUAGAUACAGUAGCUGUUGAUGGUAAAUCAACAUGCAGUAGGCUUUCUACACAUGUGUAGAAAUAGAAAAGGACAAAUGCAAAGCAUGUGUUGAGGCUCUGGAGUUGUUUAAAGACACCUUUGAUGGAGCAGGGCUGAGUAACAAAAGUAAUGUAAUUCAAUUACUUCUUCAACCGGUCAUUUAUAAUCAGUAAUUGAUUACAGUUUUCGAGUAACUUGCCCAUCACUGGUCAUACAGACCCAUCAGGUAGCUCAGCUACACACUUACAGAGUGGUGGGCUCUAACGUCUGGUGGGGACUCCUUGGGAUUACACCAGAGCUCACUCAAAGCAAACCUAAACCUCCGUUUUAUCGUGGACCCAAGAGUCGUUCUCUGGAGUUUCACACUCACCAAAUGAACUCUCAGACAUCCAGCGGAGUAUUGAUCAUUUAGGAGCAGCAGGAUGACAGGACAUACUGUAAGAGUGUAGUACACACUCCAGUAUACGAGCAUGGAUGAAGAUCUCCUCCCCUCCCUCCAUCCCAGUGGCAGGCGAGGCAAAAGGCUAAAUAAAUAAGGCAUGGCUGUGGGGGUCGCCGAGCUGUGACCUUUCGGCCCAUUUGCUUUGGGAGUUCAGUAGUGCAGCCUCAGCUAGCUGCUCUUCGAAACUCGGGAGGGCGAAUUUUAAUCAGCGCCGUGCCGAUGGCUGAGGCAGUGCAUCAUGCUUAACGAGGCUAAGAGAGGGCUUUCAUUUACCCAUGCACAGGCAGUUGUUUUCGGGGGAAAAAGCUACCUGCGCAGCACCAAACAACAGACAAAGUUAGCGACUAGCUGGUGGAGACCAAACCAGAGCUAAAAGGACAGUGAAUAUGCGACAUACGUUCAUCAGAAACUCGACUGAAUGCUAAUGUUAUGCCAUGUCUGCUGGAUGUGCAAAUAAGCCAUAAUAGUGUCUGCCAUAUAAC